CCUACGGGUGGCAGCAGUGGGGAAUAUUGGUCAAUGGGGGAAACCCUGAACCAGCAACGCCGCGUGAGGGAUGAAGGCUUUCGGUUUGUAAACCCCUUUUAGUAGGGAAGAAAAUGACGGUACCUGACGAAGAAGCACCGGCUAACUACGUGCCAGCAGCCGGGGUAAUACGCAGGGAGCAAGCGUUAUCCGGAAUUACUGGGCGUAAAGGGAGCGUAGAGGGGAGGGCAAGUCAGGAGUGAAAUGCUAGGGCCCAACCCUAGAACUGCAGUUGAAACUGUUAACCUGGAGUGCGGGAGAGGUAGGCGGAAUGCGUGGUGUAGCGGUGAAAUGCAUAGAUAUCACGAAGAACUCCGAUUGCGAAGGCAGCUUACUGGACUGUAACUGACGCUGAUGCUCGAAGGCGUGGGUAUCGAACAGGAUUAGAUACCCGGGUAGUC
rnacentral:rRNA from 1 species